CAGCAGGCUGUGUGUUCUUUGCUUAUCCAAGAUUCCCAUUCUCUUCUUACUAGAUCUCUACUACCCAGCAUAAUCAGCUGGGGUCUGGUGAAUAGAUUAAGGAAAAAGGCUUUUAGCUGUCACACAAAGCAGAUUCAAGAGCAGAGCCAAACUUGACAGUUAAUCUCCAAAGUAGAAGGAUAAUUCGGCCUUAAUCAUGUGUGCCACACAAAAUGACUGGUGCUAAUCCUAUAGGCAGAGCUUGGAUUGGAUGCCCAGCAGGACAGUCAUUGGAACUGAUUAGGAGGAACUGCGAUACUGUAUGAGUGAGAAGUUAAAUAAGUACUACUUAAACCCUGACUUCAAAAACAACAGAACUAUGACAUACAACAGCUAACAAUAUGCAGCAUGAUACUCCACUGUGAUGCUGGGCAGCAACAGCUUCCAUUUAAUCAUGCAAUCAUGAGGGAGACAACAGAUACUGUACAGUGUACUAUUAUAUUCAAUAAAUUACAUGAGA